GGAUGAACGCUAGCUACAGGCUUAACACAUGCAAGUCGAGGGGCAUCAGGAAGAAAGCUUGCUUUCUUUGCUGGCGACCGGCGCACGGGUGAGUAACACGUAUCCAACCUGCCCUUUACUCGGGGAUAGCCUUUCGAAAGAAAGAUUAAUACCCGAUAGUAUAAUCAUUCCGCAUGGUUUGAUUAUUAAAGGAUUCCGGUAAAGGAUGGGGAUGCGUUCCAUUAGGUUGUUGGUGAGGUAACGGCCCACCAAGCCUUCGAUGGAUAGGGGUUCUGAGAGGAAGGUCCCCCACAUUGGAACUGAGACACGGUCCAAACUCCUACGGGAGGCAGCAGUGAGGAAUAUUGGUCAAUGGGCGCGAGCCUGAACCAGCCAAGUAGCGUGAAGGAUGACUGCCCUAUGGGUUGUAAACUUCUUUUAUAUUAGAAUAAAGUGCAGUAUGUAUACUGUUUUGUAUGUAUAAUAUGAAUAAGGAUCGGCUAACUCCGUGCCAGCAGCCGCGGUAAUACGGAGGAUCCGAGCGUUAUCCGGAUUUAUUGGGUUUAAAGGGAGCGUAGGUGGACUGGUAAGUCAGUUGUGAAAGUUUGCGGCUCAACCGUAAAAUUGCAGUUGAUACUGUCAGUCUUGAGUACAGUAGAGGUGGGCGGAAUUCGUGGUGUAGCGGUGAAAUGCUUAGAUAUCACGAAGAACUCCGAUUGCGAAGGCAGCUCACUGGACUGCAACUGACACUGAUGCUCGAAAGUGUGGGUAUCAAACAGGAUUAGAUACCCUGGUAGUCCACACAGUAAACGAUGAAUACUCGCUGUUUGCGAUAUACAGUAAGCGGCCAAGCGAAAGCAUUAAGUAUUCCACCUGGGGAGUACGCCGGCAACGGUGAAACUCAAAGGAAUUGACGGGGGCCCGCACAAGCGGAGGAACAUGUGGCUUAAUUCGAUGAUACGCGAGGAACCUUACCCGGGCUUAAAUUGCAGUGGAAUGAUGUGGAAACAUGUCAGUGAGCAAUCACCGCUGUGAAGGUGCUGCAUGGUUGUCGUCAGCUCGUGCCGUGAGGUGUCGGCUUAAGUGCCAUAACGAGCGCAACCCUUAUCUUCAGUUACUAACAGGUCAUGCUGAGGACUCUGGAGAGACUGCCGUCGUAAGAUGUGAGGAAGGUGGGGAUGACGUCAAAUCAGCACGGCCCUUACGUCCGGGGCUACACACGUGUUACAAUGGGGGGUACAGAAGGCAGCUACCUGGUGACAGGAUGCUAAUCCCAAAAGCCUCUCUCAGUUCGGAUCGAAGUCUGCAACCCGACUUCGUGAAGCUGGAUUCGCUAGUAAUCGCGCAUCAGCCACGGCGCGGUGAAUACGUUCCCGGGCCUUGUACACACCGCCCGUCAAGCCAUGGGAGCCGGGGGUACCUGAAGUACGUAACCGCAAGGAGCGUCCUAGGGUAAAACUGGUGACUGG
rnacentral:rRNA from 1 species